UCCCUGGUGGCUUAGCGGUAAAGAAUCUGCCUGCGAUGCAGGAAACUCAGGUUUGAUCCCUGGGUGGGGAA
rnacentral:tRNA from 1 species